UGGCUUGAUGAGGAAGAAAGAAAAUGCCGUCCACAAUAUCUUUUUGUUCUUUAUUUAUUUUUCAUUUUAAAAAAUAAGACUAACAACUCUAUUAAUGGAAGAAAUCUUUGAUUGUUCGAUUUUUUCUUUAAGAUAGGCACCGGAAGAAAUGUGGCAGAGUAAGAAGCCCACCCUAUUUUUCCAUUCUCCGGUGCCCGCCCCAUGUGCUUUUUGUUCUAGUUGCAGUGUUCUGGCACUACAUUGGUGCCAAUGAUGGAGAUGCGAGCCAUAUCGUGAAGGCCC
rnacentral:lncRNA from 1 species